rnacentral:piRNA from 1 species
UUCCAAUCUUAGAGGUACUGACUCCUCUGC